rnacentral:rRNA from 1 species
GGGUUGUGAGGUUAAGCGACUAAGCGUACACGGUGGAUGCCCUGGCAGUCAGAGGCGAUGAAGGACGUGCUAAUCUGCGAUAAGCGUCGGUAAGGUGAUAUGAACCGUUAUAACCGGCGAUUUCCGAAUGGGGAAACCCAGUGUGUUUCGACACACUAUCAUUAACUGAAUCCAUAGGUUAAUGAGGCGAACCGGGGGAACUGAAACAUCUAAGUACCCCGAGGAAAAGAAAUCAACCGAGAUUCCCCCAGUAGCGGCGAGCGAACGGGGAGGAGCCCAGAGCCUGAAUCAGUGUGUGUGUUAGUGGAAGCGUCUGGAAAGGCGCGCGAUACAGGGUGACAGCCCCGUACACAAAAAUGCACAUACUGUGAGCUCGAUGAGUAGGGCGGGACACGUGGUAUCCUGUCUGAAUAUGGGGGGACCAUCCUCCAAGGCUAAAUACUCCUGACUGACCGAUAGUGAACCAGUACCGUGAGGGAAAGGCGAAAAGAACCCCGGCGAGGGGAGUGAAAAAGAACCUGAAACCGUGUACGUACAAGCAGUGGGAGCACGCUUCGGCGUGUGACUGCGUACCUUUUGUAUAAUGGGUCAGCGACUUAUAUUCUGUAGCAAGGUUAACCGAAUAGGGGAGCCGAAGGGAAACCGAGUCUUAACUGGGCGUUAAGUUGCAGGGUAUAGACCCGAAACCCGGUGAUCUAGCCAUGGGCAGGUUGAAGGUUGGGUAACACUAACUGGAGGACCGAACCGACUAAUGUUGAAAAAUUAGCGGAUGACUUGUGGCUGGGGGUGAAAGGCCAAUCAAACCGGGAGAUAGCUGGUUCUCCCCGAAAGCUAUUUAGGUAGCGCCUCGUGAAUUCAUCUCCGGGGGUAGAGCACUGUUUCGGCAAGGGGGUCAUCCCGACUUACCAACCCGAUGCAAACUGCGAAUACCGGAGAAUGUUAUCACGGGAGACACACGGCGGGUGCUAACGUCCGUCGUGAAGAGGGAAACAACCCAGACCGCCAGCUAAGGUCCCAAAGUCAUGGUUAAGUGGGAAACGAUGUGGGAAGGCCCAGACAGCCAGGAUGUUGGCUUAGAAGCAGCCAUCAUUUAAAGAAAGCGUAAUAGCUCACUGGUCGAGUCGGCCUGCGCGGAAGAUGUAACGGGGCUAAACCAUGCACCGAAGCUGCGGCAGCGACACUAUGUGUUGUUGGGUAGGGGAGCGUUCUGUAAGCCUGUGAAGGUGUACUGUGAGGUAUGCUGGAGGUAUCAGAAGUGCGAAUGCUGACAUAAGUAACGAUAAAGCGGGUGAAAAGCCCGCUCGCCGGAAGACCAAGGGUUCCUGUCCAACGUUAAUCGGGGCAGGGUGAGUCGACCCCUAAGGCGAGGCCGAAAGGCGUAGUCGAUGGGAAACAGGUUAAUAUUCCUGUACUUGGUGUUACUGCGAAGGGGGGACGGAGAAGGCUAUGUUGGCCGGGCGACGGUUGUCCCGGUUUAAGCGUGUAGGCUGGUUUUCCAGGCAAAUCCGGAAAAUCAAGGCUGAGGCGUGAUGACGAGGCACUACGGUGCUGAAGCAACAAAUGCCCUGCUUCCAGGAAAAGCCUCUAAGCAUCAGGUAACAUCAAAUCGUACCCCAAACCGACACAGGUGGUCAGGUAGAGAAUACCAAGGCGCUUGAGAGAACUCGGGUGAAGGAACUAGGCAAAAUGGUGCCGUAACUUCGGGAGAAGGCACGCUGAUAUGUAGGUGAAGUCCCUCGCGGAUGGAGCUGAAAUCAGUCGAAGAUACCAGCUGGCUGCAACUGUUUAUUAAAAACACAGCACUGUGCAAACACGAAAGUGGACGUAUACGGUGUGACGCCUGCCCGGUGCCGGAAGGUUAAUUGAUGGGGUCAGCGCAAGCGAAGCUCUUGAUCGAAGCCCCGGUAAACGGCGGCCGUAACUAUAACGGUCCUAAGGUAGCGAAAUUCCUUGUCGGGUAAGUUCCGACCUGCACGAAUGGCGUAAUGAUGGCCAGGCUGUCUCCACCCGAGACUCAGUGAAAUUGAACUCGCUGUGAAGAUGCAGUGUACCCGCGGCAAGACGGAAAGACCCCGUGAACCUUUACUAUAGCUUGACACUGAACAUUGAGCCUUGAUGUGUAGGAUAGGUGGGAGGCUUAGAAGUGUGGACGCCAGUCUGCAUGGAGCCGACCUUGAAAUACCACCCUUUAAUGUUUGAUGUUCUAACGUUGACCCGUGAUCCGGGUUGCGGACAGUGUCUGGUGGGUAGUUUGACUGGGGCGGUCUCCUCCUAAAGAGUAACGGAGGAGCACGAAGGUUGGCUAAUCCUGGUCGGACAUCAGGAGGUUAGUGCAAUGGCAUAAGCCAGCUUGACUGCGAGCGUGACGGCGCGAGCAGGUGCGAAAGCAGGUCAUAGUGAUCCGGUGGUUCUGAAUGGAAGGGCCAUCGCUCAACGGAUAAAAGGUACUCCGGGGAUAACAGGCUGAUACCGCCCAAGAGUUCAUAUCGACGGCGGUGUUUGGCACCUCGAUGUCGGCUCAUCACAUCCUGGGGCUGAAGUAGGUCCCAAGGGUAUGGCUGUUCGCCAUUUAAAGUGGUACGCGAGCUGGGUUUAGAACGUCGUGAGACAGUUCGGUCCCUAUCUGCCGUGGGCGCUGGAGAACUGAGGGGGGCUGCUCCUAGUACGAGAGGACCGGAGUGGACGCAUCACUGGUGUUCGGGUUGUCAUGCCAAUGGCACUGCCCGGUAGCUAAAUGCGGAAGAGAUAAGUGCUGAAAGCAUCUAAGCACGAAACUUGCCCCGAGAUGAGUUCUCCCUGACUCCUUGAGAGUCCUGAAGGAACGUUGAAGACGACGACGUUGAUAGGCCGGGUGUGUAAGCGCAGCGAUGCGUUGAGCUAACCGGUACUAAUGAACCGUGAGGCUUAACCUUACAACGCCGAAGCUGUU